rnacentral:tmRNA from 2 species
GGGGAUGUUACGGAUUCGACAGGCAUAGUUGAGCCUGAAUUGCGCUUCGUAGGUUACGUCUACGUUAAAACGUUACAGUUAAAUAUAACUGCUAAAAACGAAAACUCUUACGCUUUAGCUGCCUAAAAACA